CUCAAAUUUAUAAUCUGGCACCUUCGGUGUCCGAGUUGUAAUCUCUAGAAAUGUUUUCCGCGUUGGACCGCACACAAGUCUGUUGGAAUACAGCGGCAUAGUGGUGAGACCCCCGUAUAUGGUGCGGACGCCCAGCGCUUUGUGAUACAUUUUCGAAGAGUCGAGUUGUUUGGGAAUGCAGCUCAAAUUGGGUGGUAAAUUCCAUCUAAAGCUAAAUAUUGGCGAGAGACCGAUAGCGAACAAGUACCGUGAGGGAAAGAUGAAAAGCACUUUGGAAAGAGAGUUAACAGUACGUGAAAUUGUUGGAAGGGAAACGCUUGAAGUCAGACUUGCUUGCCGAGCAAUCGGUUUGCAGGCCAGCAUCAGUUUUCCGGGAUGGAUAAUGGUAGAGAGAAGGUAGCAGUUUCGGCUGUGUUAUAGCUCUCUGCUGGAUACAUCUUGGGGGACUGAGGAACGCAGUGUGCCUUUGGCGGGGGUUUCGACCUCUUCACACUUAGGAUGCUGGUGGAAUGGCUUUAAACGACC
rnacentral:rRNA from 1 species